rfam:Gorilla gorilla gorilla genomic chromosome, chr8, whole genome shotgun sequence
AUACUUACCUGGCAGGGGAGACACCAUGAUCACAAAGGUGGUUUUCCCAGGGCAAGACUCAUCCAUUGCACUCCAGAUGUGACCUCUAUGAUUUCCCCAAAUGUGAGAAACUUGACUGUAUAAUUUGUGAUUAUAAUUUUUUAAUUAAAAAAU